rnacentral:rRNA from 1 species
GUGUCAGCAGCCGCGGUAAGACGUAGGGACCGAGCGUUGUCCGGAUUUAUUGGGCGUAAAGCGCGCGCAGGCGGCUUCGAAAGUCGGGUGUGAAAACCAGAGGCUCAACCUCUGGCCUGCAUCCGAAACUUCGAGGCUAGAGGCAGGUAGGGGAGAUCGGAAUUCCUGGUGUAGCGGUGAAAUGCGCAGAUAUCAGGAGGAACACCGGUGGCGAAGGCGGAUCUCUGGGCCUGUCCUGACGCUCAGGCGCGAAAGCUAGGGGAGCAAACAGGAUUAGAUACCCUGGUAGUCCUAGCCGUAAACGUUGGAUGCUAGGUGUGGGCGGACAUUGACCCCGUCUGUGCCGGAGCUAACGCAUUAAGCAUCCCGCCUGGGGAGUACGGCCGCAAGGCUAAA